rnacentral:pre_miRNA from 1 species
CGUGGUUCCUAACUCACCCAAUAAGAGGGUUGGGGACAUUGAACUUUCCACGUCCCCAACCCUCUUAUUGGGUGAGUUGGGGACGAGG